UGGGGAAUUUUGGACAAUGGGCGAAAGCCUGAUCCAGCAAUGCCGCGUGUGUGAAGAAGGCCUUCGGGUUGUAAAGCACUUUUGUCCGGAAAGAAAUCCUUGGCUCUAAUACAGUCGGGGGAUGACGGUACCGGAAGAAUAAGCACCGGCUAACUACGUGCCAGCAGCCGCGGUAAUACGUAGGGUGCAAGCGUUAAUCGGAAUUACUGGGCGUAAAGCGUGCGCAGGCGGUUUGCUAAGACCGAUGUGAAAUCCCCGGGCUCAACCUGGGAACUGCAUUGGUGACUGGGCAGGCUAGAGUAUGGCAGAGGGGGGUAGAAUUCCACGUGUAGCAGUGAAAUGCGUAGAGAUGUGGAGGAAUACCGAUGGCGAAGGCAGCCCCCUGGGCCAAUACUGACGCUCAUGCACGAAAGCGUGGGGAGCAAACAGGAUUAGAUACCCUGGUAGUCCACGCCCUAAAACGAUGUCAACUAGUUGUUGGGGAUUCAUUUCCUUAGUAACGUAGCUAACGCGUGAAGUUGACCGCCUGGGGAGUACGGUCGCAAGAUUAAAACUCAAAGGAAUUG
rnacentral:rRNA from 1 species